UUUAUGGAGAGUUUGAUCCUGGCUCAGGACGAACGCUGGCGGCGUGCCUAAUACAUGCAAGUCGAGCGAACCUUUAGGAGCUUGCUCCUAAAGGUUAGCGGCGGACGGGUGAGUAACACGUGGGCAACCUGCCCUGUAGUUGGGGAUAACUCCGGGAAACCGGAGCUAAUACCGAAUGAUACAAUUUAACUCCUGUUAGAUUGUUGAAAGAUGGUUUCGGCUAU
rnacentral:rRNA from 1 species